AAUAGAUACCCCGGUAGUCCAUGCCGUAAACGUUGGGAACUAGGUGUGGGUCUCAUUCCACGAGAUCCGUGCCGCAGCUAACGCAUUAAGUUCCCCGCCUGGGGAGUACGGCCGCAAGGCUAAAACUCAAAGGAAUUGACGGGGGCCCGCACAAGCGGCGGAGCAUGCGGAUUAAUUCGAUGCAACGCGAAGAACCUUACCAAGGCUUGACAUAUGCGAGAACGCGGCAGAGAUGUCGUUCUCUUUGGACACUCGCAUACAGGUGGUGCAUGGUUGUCGUCAGCUCGUGUCGUGAGAUGUUGGGUUAAGUCCCGCAACGAGCGCAACCCUCGUUCUAUGUUGCCAGCACGUGAUGGUGGGGACUCAUAGGAGACUGCCGGGGUCAACUCGGAGGAAGGUGGGGAUGACGUCAAAUCGAUCAUGCCCCUUAUGUCUUGGGCUUCACGGCAUGCUACGAAUGGCCGGUACAAAGGGCUGCGAAACCGCGAGGUGGAGCGAAUCCCAAAAACCGGUCUCAGUUCGGAUUGGGGUCG
rnacentral:rRNA from 1 species